CGAAAACUUUACAAUGUGCGAAAGCACGAUAAGGGAACUCUGAGUGCCUCCAAAGGAGGCUGUUCAGGUGUCUAAAAAGCAUCUGAAGUAAGGGCUGGGCAAGACCGGUGCCAGCCGCCGCGGUAACACCGGCAGCCCAAGUGGUGGCCACUUUUACUGGGUCUAAAGCGUYCGUAGCCGGCCAUGUAAGUUCCUUGGGAAAUUUAACCGCUUAACGAUUAARCUUCCAGGGAAUACUGUUUGGCUUGGGACCGGGAGAGGUCAGAGGUACCUCMMGGGUAGGGGUGAAAUCCGUUAAUCCUUGGGGGACCGCCAGUAGCGAAGGCGUCUGGCCAGACCGGAUCCMCGGUGAGGGACGAAGGCUAGGGUAGCGAACCGGAUUAGAUACCCGGGUAGUCCUAGCUGUAAACGAUGCGGGCUAGGUGUUGGCAUUACUGCGAGUGAUGCCAGUGCCGAAGGGAAGCCGUUAAGCCCGCCAU
rnacentral:rRNA from 1 species